rnacentral:snRNA from 1 species
AGCUUUGCACAGUGACAGUAUUGUAGCCAAUGAGGUUUACCCAAGGUGCGAUUAUUGCUAAUUGAAAACUUUUCCCAAUAUCCCGCUAUGACGACUUGAAUAUAAUCAGCGUUGGCAAUUUUUGGCAGUCUCCAUGGAGA